rnacentral:rRNA from 1 species
UACGGGUGGCUGCAGUGGGGAAUAUUGGACAAUGGGCGAAAGCCUGAUCCAGCCAUGCCGCGUGUGUGAAGAAGGCCUUCGGGUUGUAAAGCACUUUCAGUGGGGAAGAAAGCCUUGGGGCUAAUACCCUCGAGGAAGGACAUCACCCACAGAAGAAGCACCGGCUAACUCCGUGCCAGCAGCCGCGGUAAUACGGAGGGUGCGAGCGUUAAUCGGAAUUACUGGGCGUAAAGCGCGCGUAGGCGGUCUGAUAAGCCGGUUGUGAAAGCCCCGGGCUCAACCUGGGAACGGCAUCCGGAACUGUCAGGCUAGAGUGCAGGAGAGGAAGGUAGAAUUCCCGGUGUAGCGGUGAAAUGCGUAGAGAUCGGGAGGAAUACCAGUGGCGAAGGCGGCCUUCUGGACUGACACUGACGCUGAGGUGCGAAAGCGUGGGUAGCAAACAGGAUUAGAUACCCCUGUAGUC